rnacentral:rRNA from 1 species
UACGAAGGGGGCUAGCGUUGCUCGGAAUGACUGGGCGUAAAGGGCGCGUAGGCGGCUUGCCCAGUCAGGCGUGAAAUUCCUGGGCUCAACCUGGGGACUGCGCUUGAGACGUGUGGGCUUGAGUGGGGAAGAGGGUCGUGGAAUUCCCAGUGUAGAGGUGAAAUUCGUAGAUAUCGGGAGGAACACCAGUGGCGAAGGCGGCGACCUGGGCCAAUACUGACGCUGAGGUGCGAAAGCGUGGGGAGCAAACAGG